rnacentral:rRNA from 1 species
GAUGAACGCUAGCGGCAGGCUUAAUACAUGCAAGUCGAGGGGCAGCAUGGGUGUAGCAAUACAUCUGAUGGCGACCGGCAAACGGGUGCGGAACACGUACAGAACCUUCCUUCGAGCGGGGAAUAGCCCAGAGAAAUUUGGAUUAAUACCCCAUAGUAUAUUGAAGAGGCAUCUCUUUAAUAUUAAAGAUUUAUCACUUGAAGAUGGCUGUGCGGCUGAUAGAUAGUUGGCGGGGUAACGGCCCACCAAGUCUACGAUCAGUAACUGGUGUGAGAGCACGACCAGUCACACGGGCACUGAGACACGGGCCCGACUCCUACGGGAGGCAGCAGUAAGAUAUGGGCAAUGGAGGCAACUCUGACCCAGCCAUGCCGCGU